GACGAACGCUGGCGGCGUGCUUAAUACAUGCAAGUCGAACGGAAAGGCCCUGAUCUUGUGUGGCGCACGUGUGGCGAACGGGUGAGUAACACGCGUGUAACCUGCCCUUGUCUUUGUGAUAACAUUAGGAAACUGGGGCUCAUACCGGAUAGGAUCUUUUGCUGCACGGUGUGGGUUGGAAAGUUUCGGCGGUUGGGGAUGGACUGGCUGCUUACCCGCUUGUUGGUCGGGUAGUGGCUCACGAAGGUUUCGACGGCUAGCCGGCCUGAGAGGGGGACCGGGCACAAGGGGACUAAGGGACGGACCAGAAUGGUACGGGAGGCAGCGGGGGAGAGUAUUGCGCAGUAGGCCGGAGUGUGAGACAGCGACGCCGGGUGCGGAAUGACGGCUUUCUAGUUAUGAACCGCUUUGGACUGAGACGAAGAGUGAGUGACGGUAAUGGGUAAGAAAGCACCGGCUAACUACGUG
rnacentral:rRNA from 1 species